GAGGAGAUUCAUGAUCAAGGGAUACCAGACCCAGAAGCUUAACUUCUUCAUUGAGCUCCAAGGACUGGCAGGGGUCUUCUGAAGGCAAAAAACUUCAGGGAUCUGAACACAUCUGGUAAUAAGCUCUUGACAAUCUGGAACUGGGUCAUACUCAUCUUUGUAUUUAACUGCCAAUCCCUGAGCCUGGCAGAAAGUAGGAAGCCCACUCACAUUUAUUAGACUGGAUUAAAGCAAGAUUGAGCACAAUUUUCUGUAUGAAUUUCAGGAUGAAGUCAAAGGGUAUGGGCUCUGCUGAGGUAAAAAGAAUUCCCUGAAAACAUCACUGGGUGUCUCACUUGAAUAGGAAGUAAAGUGACACUACCAAGUAGAACCAGAAUCUUUAAAUAGAAAUAAAGGACUCUGAAAAGAAAAAAUUGUAAAGGAAAGGGGGAAACUUUCAGGUUGUUUAGGUUUCAUUUCUUGUAUUUUCUGUACAGCUUAUAUUUCUAACUUUAGUUGUAAUACAGAUCCUCCCUCGUCCUUCAUCUCUGCUGGUACUGAUUAAUGCAUGAAAACAUACACCCACACAUGUGCACACAUGCAUGCGUAUGCACACAUGCACGUGUACAUGUGCGUGUACACACACACACACACAUACACACACACAUGCCUGUGUCUCUCGUAACUGAUUAUGUGUUAUGUUGCUGUUCAGAACAGAAUCCGCAAAGAAAUAAAGACCUACUGAGAUUACAACCACAAAUAUUUUCCCAGGCAUGGGAACCAUCUUGUCGGGGCCUAUUAGGCCUAGGAGCAAUGAUCCAGAGGCCUGCCAUUUCCUGGUGACUAUGGACAAGCAGGAAGAGUCCCUCUGAAGCUACUCCAGCUCUGGUAGAAAACCAGAAAAUAUGCUGUGAAGUUAGGAGGAAGGGAGGACCAGGCCUGACACAACGAUCAUCUGUACCAUGCAGAGAAGAGAGGAAGACUUCUGUUUUGUUUUGUUUAUGUGCCACAGAGAAGCCACUGAUUUGAGUUUCAAAUUAUGGCAUAAUGGUUCAUUUACGCAAACCAUAAAUGAGCUUAUGUAAUGUUCUUAUGAAUAACAUACACACCAAUCUUGGCAGGCAUUUCUCCCUUGUUAAUUCUUAUAUUUUGUUUGUAUUUAAUACACCAUUAAGAUCUAAA